CACUGCGUAUAUAGCCAACAGAGCCAUUCUCUACCGAUCGACUAAACGCAAGGCAAGCACCCCAGCUUGUGGCUCUGUGCGUCUGAUUGGGAAAUUGCUUGGUCGCUCCACCGAUCCUCUGCGGCGGCCCUGCGCGUGCUCGUCUCGUCCCUCUGUCUCGGGAGCGCCUGGAUUUCGGAGGUGCGUGGAAAUUGGAUGGCAACAACCGGUAGCCCAUCAAGAACUGCGCUGCCGUCGUCGCCGCCAGCUCCGUCGUCCUGCAAGCUCGCCGCCGCCUGCUGCUUCGUCCUGAUCGUCCCCAUCCUCCUCACGGAUGAGCAUGUGGCCGUCGCCGAGUCCCUGUCGAUCGGCGUCAACUACGGGCAGAUCGCCAACAACCUGCCAUCGCCGGCGCAGGUAUCGUGGCUGCUCCGGUCGAUGCGGGUCAGCAAGGUGAAGCUGUACGACGCCGACCCCAACGUCCUGCGCGCGUUCCUCGGCACGGGCGUCGAGUUCGUAGUCGGCAUCGGCAACGAGUACGUGCCGGCGAUGGUGAGCCCCGCGGCGGCGCAGGCGUGGCUGCAGCAGCACGUGGUGCCGUACCUCCGCUCGGGCGCGCGCAUCACCUGCGUCACCGUGGGCAACGAGGUGUUCAAGGGCAACGACACCGCCCUCCAGGCGGCGGUGCUUCCCGCCAUGCAGUCCGUGCACAGGGCCCUGGGCGCGCUCGGCCUCCAGGGCCGCAUCAACGUCACCACGGCGCACUCGCUGGACGUCAUGGGCGUCUCCUUCCCGCCCUCCGCCGGCGCCUUCGCCCCCGCGGCGCUGGCGCACCUGCAGCCGUUCCUGAGCUUUCUGUCGGCGACGCGGUCGCCGUUCCUCAUCAACUGCUACCCCUACUUCGCGUACAAGGACGACCCGGCGCGGGUGCCGCUGGACUACGUGCUCUUCCGUCCCAACGCCGGUGUCGCCGACGCCCGCACGGGGCUCCGCUACGACAACAUGCUGUACGCGCAGGUGUGGACGCCGUGUACGCGGCCAUCCAGGGGCUCGGGUACACGGACGUGGAGGUCAAGGUGUCGGAGACCGGGUGGCCGUCGCGAGGCGACGCCGACGAACCCGGCGCCACGCCCGAGUACGCGGGGACCUACAUCCGGAACCUGCUGCAGCGGAUCGAGAUGAAGCAGGGCACGCCGCUGCGCCCGGCGACGCCCGUCGACGUCUACGUGUUCGCGCUCUUCAACGAGAACCUCAAGCCAGGGCCGGCGUCGGAGAGGAACUACGGCCUCUUCUACCCCGACGGCACACCGGUGUACAACGUCGGCCUGCACGGAUACCUCCCGCCGAUGCUGGUGUCGUCGACUGCAGCACGACAGCUGAUUCGUUAUUUUGCACUAGUCGCCAUCGCGUCCGUCGCAUAUUCGUCUGUCUUAUCCUGACAGUGUAGCCUACCGACGGAGCACUAAACAGCUAAGCAUCUCAUGCUACUCACGACUCAAGGAACUUCUGAGUAAUCUGCUGGCCAUCUCAACUUGGGUACCUUUACUGCAUUUCGGAUAGCGAUCACAAGCUCUUACUGUACACAUACUGACAAUAAGGUAGAACUGACUGAAGCAUAUGCAGCAUCCAUUCAUCACAGCUUACAUUUUGACCCAAAAAGGAAAGGUACAAACAGUAGGGAGAGCUGCAUGGACAGCACCUAUUUUGUUGUUC